UACAGAGGUCUCAAGCGUUGUUCGGAUUCAUUGGGCGUAAAGGGUGCGUAGGCGGCGCGGUAAGUCGGGUGUGAAAUCUUGGAGCUUAACUCCGAAACUGCAUUCGAUACUGCCGUGCUUGAGGACUGGAGAGGAGACUGGAAUUUACGGUGUAGCGGUGAAAUGCGUAGAUAUCGUAAGGAAGACCAGUGGCGAAGGCGGUUCUCUGGACAGUUCCUGACGCUGAGGCACGAAGGCCAGGGGAGCAAACGGG
rnacentral:rRNA from 1 species